ACACUCACCUGGAGGGGAGGUACCAUGAUCACGAAGGUGGUUUCCCAGGGCGAAGCUUAUCCAUCGCCCUCCAGAUGUGCUGACCCCUGCGAUUUCCCCAAAUGUGGGAGACUCGAUUGCAUAAUGUGUGGUAGUGGGGGACUGCAUUCGCACUCUCCCCUA
rnacentral:snRNA from 1 species